UGGUCCCACUUCUCUGUCUCAAACUGGCUUUUUCUCAAUCCUUUGACUCCGCCGGGCUUUGUCACCCCCAUGACCUGGUGUUGGGUCUGAUCACCCCAACGUUCCUGGCUGCUCAAUGUGGGGUGACAAAGACCCCGGUGAAGGAACGCUAGAGCGUGUGAAAGCAGAGGACGCAUCAUCAGAGGACACCUGAGGAUGUCUAAAAGAAGCUCAGCAGGAAAGCUGAGUGCUGGGAAGAACCAGGGUAGCAAUGGGACAAAGUGAAAGCAGACAUUCUGCUUAUUUAAAUUUCUUAAGGCGUUUAUUAUGAAGAGGGGGGAGUGAAAGUUAGUGCUCAGAAUUUAUCACUCUUCAGUGCAGUAAAGCAGUUUUGCCCAUGGUUCCCGGAACAAGGGACUAUGGAGUUGGAUGAAUGGGAGAGAAUUGGCAGAGAUUUUUAAAAAAACAUAUAAAGGUGGAGCAAAUAUUCCAGUCUCGGUUUGGUCAAUGUGGGCACUAAUAAAAGCAGCUCUUGAGCCAUUUCAAACAGAUCAUGAGGCAGAUUCAGAUGAGGAAGAGGAGGGCGAGUGUAAAAAACUAACUUCAGAUUCUGAAUGUGAGGAACAGAAACCGGAGGAAAUCAAAGAAAGGGAAACCGAAAAAGGUCCUAAUAAGAGAUGAAGAACAAUGAAGAUAUCGUGAAAAAUAUUUUGCUUCCCUGCCUUCAUACAAUCCUCUAACAGUCAAAAAUGUAUCUGCAGCGCCCAGUAAGGCCAACUGAUGACUCAAACACAACCCCCCAAGGGUGUCCUUAUGCCCUUCCAUUGCUUAAAAUAAAGAGCUCGGGGGUCACUUACGGAAAUCAAUGGAAUCUUGCUCUGUCACCCAGGCUGGAGUGCAAUGGCAU
rnacentral:lncRNA from 1 species